GCAAGUCGAGCGACGCAUACCGGAGGGGUAACCCACUGGUAUGACGGAGCGGCGAACGGGUGAGUAACACGUGAGUAACCUGCCCCACAGACCGGGACAGCCAGGGAAACCUGGAUUAAUACCGGAUAUCCUCGAAGGAUCGCAUGAUCUUCCGAGGAAAUGCCUUUGUGCUGUGGGAUGGGCUCGCGACUUAUCAGCUAGUUGGUGGGGUAACGGCCUACCAAGGCGUCGACGAGUAGCUGGUCUGAGAGGACGAUCAGCCACACUGGGACUGAGACACGGCCCAGACUCCUACGGGAGGCAGCAGCAGGGAAUCUUGCGCAAUGGGCGAAAGCCUGACGCAGCAACGCCGCGUGGGGGAUGAAGGCCUUCGGGUUGUAAACCCCUUUCAGGAGGGAAGAAAUUGACGGUACCUCCAAAAGAAGCACCGGCCAACUACGUGCCAGCAGCCGCGGUAAUACGUAGGGUGCGAGCGUUAUCCGGAAUCAUUGGGCGUAAAGAGCUCGUAGGCGGUUCAGUAAGUCGGCUGUGAAAUUUCGAGGCUCAACCUCGAAACUGCAGUCGAAACUGCUGUGACUCGAGUCCGGUAGAGGAGAAUGGAAUUCCCGGUGUAGCG
rnacentral:rRNA from 1 species